AGCCAUACGUUGAGCAUAGAGCGAACUAUCCUUUCGCCUUUUACUAAAGAAUACCGUGUGCACGGCACCUUAAGUGGCAUACGCCAAUUUUUGAAGGGUGCACCUUUGUGUGUGCCC